rnacentral:antisense_RNA from 1 species
AUUUAUGGCGGGCGUGCCGGGCGGACUUCGGUCCGGCCGGGAUCCAACGGCACCGGUAUUUGCACCCUGGCACGCCCGCCACCCGC